rnacentral:snRNA from 1 species
AUUGCUUCUCAGCCUUUUGGCUAAGAUCAAGUAUAGUAUCUGUUCUUAUCAGCUUAAUACAAGUAGAGGGAUUAGUACAAUGGACCCCCU